UACGUAGGGUGCGAGCGUUGUCCGGAAUUAUUGGGCGUAAAGAGCUUGUAGGCGGUUUGUCGCGUCUGCUGUGAAAUCCCGAGGCUCAACCUCGGGUCUGCAGUCGAUACGAGCAAACUAGAGUGUUGCAGGGGAGACUGGAAUUCCUGGUGUAGCGGUGAAAUGCGCAGAUAUCAGGAGGAACACCGGUGGCGAAGGCGGGUCUCUGGGCAACAACUGACGCUGAGGAGCGAAAGCGUGGGGAGCGAACAGG
rnacentral:rRNA from 1 species